GUGAACGCUGGCGGUAGGCCUAACACAUGCAAGUCGCACGGCAGCACAGUAAGAGCUUGCUCUUCCGGGUGGCGAGUGGCGGACGGGUGAGGAAUACAUCGGAAUCUACUUUUUCGUGGGGGAUAACGUAGGGAAACUUACGCUAAUACCGCAUACGACCUACGGGUGAAAGCAGGGGAUCUUCGGACCUUGCGCGAUUGAAUGAGCCGAUGUCGGAUUAGCUAGUUGGCGGGGUAAAGGCCCACCAAGGCGACGAUCCGUAGCUGGUCUGAGAGGAUGAUCAGCCACACUGGAACUGAGACACGGUCCAGACUCCUACGGGAGGCAGCAGUGGGGAAUAUUGGACAAUGGGCGCAAGCCUGAUCCAGCCAUACCGCGUGGGUGAAGAAGGCCUUCGGGUUGUAAAGCCCUUUUGUUGGGAAAGAAAAGCAGCAGGUUAAUACCCCGCUGUUCUGACGGUACCCAAAGAAUAAGCACCGGCUGACUUCGUG
rnacentral:rRNA from 1 species